rnacentral:lncRNA from 1 species
GACUGACCAACUAAUCCUAGUGGCUCUGGGUCAGGUUACGAAUUGUAUUAGAUUGAUUUGAGCUCUAUCGUCCCAUCCUCUAACUAAACUAGUCCACCAGUGAAGGUAGACAACUUACUAAGUAGAGUCUCUAAUGUUAGCAAGAUCCGCUACGCUAUUGAAAGGCUCUUAGUUGCUUAUCUGGAUUAUAAAAAGGUGUAACUGCU